rnacentral:rRNA from 1 species
UACGAAGGGGGCAAGCGUUGUUCGGAAUUACUGGGCGUAAAGGGCGCGUAGGCGGCUUAUCAAGUCAGGCGUGAAGUUCCCGGGCUCAACCUGGGGGCUGCGCUUGAUACUGAUUGGCUUGAAUGCGGGAGAGGAUAGUGGAAUUCCCAGUGUAGAGGUGAAAUUCGUAGAUAUUGGGAAGAACACCGGUGGCGAAGGCGGCUAUCUGGCCCGUAAUUGACGCUGAGGCGCGAAAGCGUGGGGAGCAAACAGG